UACACACCGCCCGUCGCUACUACCGAUUGAAUGGCUCGGUGAGGCCUUCGGACUGGCUCAGGAGGGUUGGCAACGACCCCCCAGAGCCGGAAAGUUGGUCAAACCCGGUCAUUUAGAGGAAGUAAAAGUCGUAACAAGGUUUCCGUAGGUGAACCUGCGGAAGGAUCAUUACCGAGUGCGGGUCCUUUGGGCCCAACCUCCCAUCCGUGUCUAUUGUACCCUGUUGCUUCGGCGGGCCCGCCGCUUGUCGGCCGCCGGGGGGGCGCCUCUGCCCCCCGGGCCCGUGCCCGCCGGAGACCCCAACACGAACACUGUCUGAAAGCGUGCAGUCUGAGUUGAUUGAAUGCAAUCAGUUAAAACUUUCAACAAUGGAUCUCUUGGUUCCGGCAUCGAUGAAGAACGCAGCGAAAUGCGAUAACUAAUGUGAAUUGCAGAAUUCAGUGAAUCAUCGAGUCUUUGAACGCACAUUGCGCCCCCUGGUAUUCCGGGGGGCAUGCCUGUCCGAGCGUCAUUGCUGCCCUCAAGCCCGGCUUGUGUGUUGGGUCGCCGUCCCCCUCUCCGGGGGGACGGGCCCGAAAGGCAGCGGCGGCACCGCGUCCGAUCCUCGAGCGUAUGGGGCUUUGUCACAUGCUCUGUAGGAUUGGCCGGCGCCUGCCGACGUUUUCCAACCAUUCUUUCCAGGUUGACCUCGGAUCAGGUAGGGAUGCCCUCUGAACUUAAGCAUAUCAAUAAGCGGAGGAAAAGAAACCAACCGGGAUUGCCUCAGUAACGGCGAGUGAAGCGGCAAGAGCUCAAAUUUGAAAGCUGGCUCCUUCGGAGUCCGCAUUGUAAUUUGCAGAGGAUGCUUUGGGUGCGGCCCCCGUCUAAGUGCCCUGGAACGGGCCGUCAGAGAGGGUGAGAAUCCCGUCUUGGGCGGGGU
rnacentral:rRNA from 1 species